CAGCAAUAAAGUUAAAAGACUUGUGGUUUCCUUCACACCCUAAGCAAAGAACAAAAAUUUCAUUCUUUAUUUUGCUUUGAUUAGGACCUCUAUCAGUAGUAUCAGAGCAGACUCAUCAUGUCAACCAAUAAGGAGAGAAUAGAAAACCCAGAGCACAACGUUAGUGAUAUCCAGGACCAUUUGAGUCGCAUGGAGUUAAGCACGGUUGACAAGCUCCACCAACUAGAAAAUGUCAUCCGGCGGUUGAUAAACACCCUCGUGCUCAAUCGAGAGAGUUCCAGCAGUCACCAGACGAACCAACCUUUCCCCACAAGAAUCGACGGUAGCCGACCGGUGUUCCACUCACGAAUGGCGAAGCUCGACUUUCCAACUUAUUCGGGAGACAACCCGACGGAAUGGCUCAAUCGAGUCGAACAACUCUUUAAUUUCCAGCACACCGAAGAGGAGCACAAGGUCUCCUUCGCUUCCUUCUAUCUCGAGGACGAGGCAAAUCAAUGGUGGCCCUGGUUAAAAAAAGCUUACAGGGAAGAAGGGAGAACAGUGACAUGGACCGGGUUUGUGGAGGAACUAUGAGCUCGUUUCGGGUCAACCAAAGGAGAAGACUUUGAUGAGGCCUUCUCCCAUAUUAAACAAACAGGCCUAUUACAAGAAUACCAACGGGAGUUUGAAAGACUUGGGAACCGGGUGCAUGACUGGACACAAAGGGCCUUCACCGGGACAUUCAUGGGUGGACUUAAUCCCGAAAUUGCAUAUGAGAUUGGAAUAUUAAGGUCCAAGUCCCUCAAGGAAGCAAUCAGCCUGGCUCAUAUGAGAGAAGAGCAGUUGGGCACUACCCACAAUUCAGCCCAAUUAGAAACCUACCUUCCCAAGUGCCUCAAACCCUAGCCCCCCAUGCUGGUCAACCAAGAUGCCUCGCCUAGGAAGAAAUAUAAUACAGGUGCACCUAAGGCCUCUGCUUCCAUUGCAACGAGCAGUUCAUGGCAGGCCACAAAUACCGCUGCUCACAACUCCUGAUUCUAGACGCAGUCGAGGAUGAAGACGAAGAUACAGUAGGGGAAGAUGCAUAAGAAAUCUCCCUCCACACCCUCACCGGGUGGCCGAUCGCUUGAACCAUGAGGGUCGCCGCUACUAUCCAAGGGCACACAGUGGUGGUCUUCAUAGACAGCAGUUCCACUCACAAUUUCAUCAAUGAACUGGUAAAUGAUCGACUUCGCCUACUAAUCAAGCCAAUCCCGCCCUUCUCGGUCAAGGUUGUAGACGAUCGUCUUUUCUUAUGUCAGGGUCAGUUCAACAACGUGUCGAUCACCAUCCAAGAAAAAUUGAGACCAGUUAAGUGUCACUGGAAACACCUCACUAUGAGCUUCCAGUUUGAUGGUUGUCGAUGGACAUUAAGCGGCCUAGACGCCCCGACCAUCCAACUUGCUUCCAUCAGCGAAGUCACUCAAGAGGUAGACAGAACGCACUUGAUGUGCGCCAUUUGUUGGCUGACAGAAGAACAGCCAGGGGUGAAUGGGAAGAUAGCCGAAGAAGUCGAGAAUAGACCCGACAUGCUAAAACUCCUGGCCAAAUAUGAAGAAGUGUUCUGAGUGCUCAACCAGCUGCCACCAACUAAAGAGAUUGACUACCAUAUCAACCUCAAAGACGGAACAAAACCAAUCAAUGUGAGGCCUUACCGGUAUGCACACUUUUAAAAAUUUAAAAUUGAGAAACAUGUUAAUGAGUUAUUACAGGACGGGCUAAUUUCGCCGAGUACUAGCUCAUUCUCCUAACUGGUUUUGUUAGUCCGAAAAAAAGAUGACACUUAGCACUUCUGCACCGACUACAGAUCUCUGAACUCAGUCACCAUCAAUGACCGCUUUCCCAUUCCGACCGUUGACGACAUGCUAGAUAAAUUAUAUGAGGCAGCUUAUUUCACCAAACUUGAUUUGACUGUCGGAUACCACCAAGUCCAAAUGUACUCGAUGACAUUCCCAAAACUGCUUUUUGCACUCAUAAUGGCUACUAUGAGUACCUGGUGAUGCCUUUCAGUUUAUGCAAUAUGCCAUCAACAUUCCAAGCUAUUAUAAACACCAUCUUCCAAGCACACCUAUGUGUUCGAGAUCCUCAGAAAACAUCAAUUCUAUGUGAAACAAAAGAAGUGUAUAUUCGGGGGCCCAAGAGCUUGAGUAUUUAGGCCAUAUUGUCACCGCUCAAGGAGUUAAGGUUGAUCUAACUAAAAUACAAGUAGUGAUAAGGUAGGCAUGACCAUCCACCAUCACCGAGAGGAUUCUUGGGGCUGAUAAGCUACUACAAAAAGUUCGUUCAAGAUUAUGGCAUUUUUGCCCAACCCCUCACUCAAUUACUUAAGAAAAGACAAUUUAGAUAGAUUGAUGAAAUAGGUAGGGUAUUUGUACAACUCAAACAAGCACUCACUACCACACCAAUAGUAGCCUUGACAAACUUCAAUGAACUUUUAUGAUAGAGACAGAUGCAUCAAGAAAUGGUAUAGGAGCAGUUUUAUCCCAACAAAACCGGCUUAUUGUCUAUAUGAGUCGUGCCUUGGGUGUUGUCAAACACAAAUGGUCAACAUAUGCUAGGGAAAUGUUGGCUUAUUGUCUAUAUGAGUCGUGCCUUGGGUGUUGUCAAACACAAAUGGUCAACAUAUGUUAGGGAAAUGUUAGCUAUAGUGGUGGCAAUCAAACUUUGGAGACCGUACUUACUGGGACACAAGUUUUUUAUCUAGACGGACUAGGUUAGUUUAAAAUACCUCCUUAAUCAACGGAUCACCACCCCGAAACAAUAGAAGUGGGUCUCUAAACUCGUAGGAUAUGAUUAUGAGAUUUUCUAUAAGUUCAAAAAAGUAAACUCAGUUGUUAAUACACUCUCCAGGAAGGAAGGCAGCCCUACCAUCAAUGUUAUUUAUAUCCUACAAAGUAGUAUUUGGACCCAGAUGCAAGAGGCAGCAACUGGUCACUUCUAUAUGCAAAAAAUUGGCAGUUUGGCUAUAGAGAACUCUAAUAAGCCUUAUGGGUGGCGAAAUGACUUGAUUUAUUUCCACAACUGAGUUGUAAUUCCACCCAAAACCCCUGUCAUACCCUAACUAUUAAAGAAAUUUCACGACUCACCAAUCGGGGGCCACUUAGGAACACUGAGAACUUACAAAAGGAUAGCACAAUAGUUUUAUUGGUUGUCAAUGUACAAGGAUAUACAAAAAUAUAUGUCAGCAUGUGACAUCUGCCAAAAGGCCAGGGCAGAUUCCUUGACACCAGUAGGGCUCUUGCAACCACUAACAAUACCUUGCCAAGUAUAGGAUAAUAUUACAAUGAACUUUAUCGAAUGACUCCUUCAUUCCAAUGGAAAAAGCAUCAUACUAGUAGUGGUCGAACAAUUAAGCAAAUCAGCCCACUUCCUAGCUUUGACACAUCCAUACACAACAAAAGGAGUAGCAACUACUUUUAUCCAAAACAUCCUCAGGCUUCAUGGCAUGCCACGCUCCAUUGUAAGUGACUGAGAUCUUAUCUUCAUUAAUAAUUUUUGGCAAUAAUUUUUAAGUAAUCAGGUACUGAACUCAAGAUGAGCUCCUCCCACCACCCUCAAACGAGCGGUUAAUCAAAAGUAGUUAAUCGAUGUGUUGAACAAUACUUCCAAUGCCUCCUUCAUCAGUACCUCCGGAAAUGGAGCAACUUAUUUCCAUGGGCAUAAUAUUGGUACAACACCACUGUCCACUCUUCUAUCGGUGUGACCCAUUUUAAAGUAUUGUAUGGUGACCGCCCUCAGCCAUUCUGCAUUACCAUGUCGGGUCCACACCAGUCAACGAGGUGGAUCAGCAACGUACUAAUCGGGACCAACUAUUAAAACAACUUAAGAUUAACCUUCAGGCUGCCAGGAACAGAAUGCAACAGAUGACCAACAACAAAAAAAUGAGAUGUGGAACUAAAUGAAGGCGAUUGGGUGUUCCUCAAACUCCUACAGCCAACAGACCGCCUUCAAGAGAACAUUCCAAAAAUUAGCUUACAAAUAUUAUAGGCCCUAUCAAAUCUUGUAGCGAGUAGGACCUGUAGCUUACAAGCUCAAAUUGCUAGAAGGGACCUGUAUUCACACGGUCUUCCAUGUACCCAUGCUCAAACAGAAAGUAAGGGAGUUGAUAAACCCAAGUAUAGAAUUGCCACCAAUUAUGGCCGACGACAAUAUCACAUCCAACUAAAAGCUAUCAUUAACACCCGUUGGCUUCAAAAAAAGUCCUAAGUUUGUGGAAGGAAGCUUAGUUAAAUGGCACAACCUUUCCACCGAAGAUACAACAUGGAAGAACAUUCAAGAAUUACAUAAUAAGUUUCCUGAGCUGAACCUUGAGGACAAGGUUCUAACAAAAAAGGGGGGGUAGUGAUACAACACCACCACGUAGAUCGCAGAGAAGACCAAUUCCUAACUCAUGACUUGCAGAAGAAAAAUAAGAAAAACGUGAAGAAAUUGCAGAGCCAAGAAAUCUGUAGCUAGCCGUUAAGUAAUUAUGUUAUCUUUUCUAUUUCAUUGUUAUCUUUUAUGUUUAGAUUUCAAUUGUAAGUGGCUGAAUUUUAUGACU